rnacentral:lncRNA from 1 species
GGGAGUCAGACAGCAUAUUACCUAAACAGCACAGUUAACAAUGGGCGAGGGCGAUGCUCCCCUGACGUCUGCCUUCCCCAGACACCUCUCAGCAGCUCCUCGGAGCUGCCCAGCAGCCACAGCUCCGGGUUUGCAAGGCUUAGCUGAAGAGAUGAGCCAAGUACAUCAAAGAUGUGGAUCAAAGCCCCAGAGUCACUUUCUCCCGAGUUCAAGAGGACAGACUCCCAGAUUUUGUUUUUGACAUGCUGGUCAACUCAACGUUUGACUGUCUGCUGACAGUAAGAAAGCUUUCUCUGAUUUCUAUGUCUAUCCUUGGUUCGAAUAUCCAGAAGUAUCUGACAAAGCCACCACUGCCAUUCCCACUUGACCUGUAACUAUGUGGCAUUGGCCAAAAUAAAAAGAACACCAUUUCUGCUCUACACUGUCCUUCUUGAAUACCUGACAGACGACUCACCAUCCAGGACGGACCGAGCGCACUGUGAGACCCUCCGCAGCCUCCCUGAAGUGCUGCCAGACAGCAGAGUGCUCCGCGCCCCGCCUGUGCCUCACCUGGACCACUUGCUGCUCCAGAUCUUAACCAUCUUUGUUUCCUCAGUGCUUAAUACUGUACUUCCUAUCAUAGGAGUUCAUUCUGUUGUUUGGCAAAGGACAAAUCCUCUACAAGGGUUGUUAAGUACACUAGUUCCAAAAGUGACAGGAACUCUGUUUAAGUGGCCACCUAUGUUACAUCAGACACCUUCUCCACUCAGUGGGACACCUGUACUGUCAGAGGGCCACUUAGCUAAAUGUGAAAGCAGUUUAGAGUUUAUCCAUUUACGCAUAAUUCCUCUGUUUCUUUCAUUUUCUAUUGUGAAUCUAUGAUUUUAUUAAAUUUAAUAUAUACUUAUAACCUGAUAGAUUUUCUACUCCAUAGUAACUAUGUUAAAUAAUUUUCUCUUCUUUACCAUUUUUCUUUUUUUGUUUCCAAAGAGGAACUGGUGGCUGGACCCUACUUGUGUCAAAUAAAUACCACAGGGUGCAGAUUGACCUUGAAGAGAGAAUGGCAGUCACUGCUGUGGCCCCCAGGGAGCACACGGGAACUCUGACUGGGCACCAGCUGCAUCCUGGUGUUCAGUGACAGUGGGAGGAGCUGGAAGCAGUAGCAAGGAGAAGAAAGUAUCUGGGUACAUUUUCUAAUAUAAUAAUUGUACAUGUUGAUUCCAACCUAUUAGAGAAACAGAAUCUGAAGAAUUACUUAGGAAAAGUUUUCUAAGUGAAAGUAAGGUACAUUCUUCAUUGAAAAUAUUGAAAAGGAUUUCUCUGCUUUUAAAUACUGUGAAAGUCUAAGAAUAACACAAGUCAUGUACCAUUUUUCUCUUGUUUUGUUCAAUAAAUGAUUUGGC